GGGCCCGUAGCCUAGAAUGGAUAGGGCGUCGGCCUGCGGAGCCGGAGGUCCCGGGUUCAAGUCCCGGCGGGCCCACCA
rnacentral:tRNA from 1 species